AGUGGCUAGGCCUUCCAUAUUAAUUCAUCAGACUCCUCUAUGUUCCUUCAGCAAUUGGAUAGCCCAUUUGUUCUACUUUUGUACAUACUGCAUUGCAUGUUUUACAUAGGUAUUUUAAAGCGACUACUCUUUAUUCUGCUUCCCUAUUAAACACAGAAGCAAUGCCCCUCUUUUCUUUCAUUAUCCUAUAUAGUUGUCCAAAUAACAGUAAUAUAUAGUACCAUGGUAGUAAUCUAUACCUCUUUUAAUCCUCACAAAGCCUGUGAAGUGUUAAAAUUCCUGUAUCCACUUUACAGACCUAGAAACAGGUUCAAAGCGGUUACUUCAGUCCCCCCAAAUCAAACAGCCUUUAAGUGGCAGGGAAGGUGGCAUCCAAGAUCAGGGCUAGCUU